rnacentral:lncRNA from 1 species
UUUCAUUGAACCUGGUGAAUCAUGUAUUUGUCUAAGAUAGUGUCUUUUACAUGUAAUAUGCAAUGAACAGUUGGAAAGUUGGAAGUUUCAUUUUUCUCAAAUGACACACAUAUUACGUGUUGCCUGCUUCUCCCCAUAGUACUAUUUCUUAGGCUCACUACAGAGUACUAAAUAACAUCAGCUGUAAAAUGUGGGAAGUAGAUUAGAAUGACAGGAGCUCAUCAAAUGCCUUAUCAAAUAACUAUUUGAUUUGUAGCAUGCUUGUUUCCAAUUCAACCGGACCAUUGAACACAUCAAGCAAUUUAUCCGUGGAGAAGGGAGAUAAUCCUGCAAGACCAUCAGUUGUAUUUUAUAAUGUGAAGACACAUUAAAAUACCAAUGAAGUAGCACUUACCACUCAGGCCUUUUUAGUGUUUAACAUUUAGGGAAAACCGGACCAUUGAACACAUCAAGCAAUUUAUCCGUGGAGAAGGGAGAUAAUCCUGCAAGACCAUCAGUAGUAUUUUAUAAUGUGAAGACACAUCAAAAUACCAAUGAAGUAGCACUCACAACUCAGAUCUUUUUAGUAUUUAACAUUUAGGGAAAGCUAAUAGAGAUAUCGAACAUCUAAUACUUGGCACUGCCUAAACAGGAGCACUCUAUCUUCAUUAAUGAACCUAAAAAUUAUUUAUUUGAUAUUUUGAUUCAGUAUUUACAAAGUUGGAAAAUUAAUUUAAAAUGCUUUGAGCAUUUUAUGAUUAUCCUCAUCAGAAGUUAUGCAAAUCGUUUUAAAAUGCACUCUCACAAUAUGCUGGCAGUUGCUUGUGUGUAUGCACCUAGAGGUUGUUUUAAUGGUUUGGAAAUUUGCACACUUGAAAACUGCUCCAUAGAUAUUGGCAAUGGUGGCCAAGCAAAGAGGUACUUAGGUUGUCUUGAUCAUUUAAAAUCUAUAUCAGAAAUUCGACUUGAUUGAGCCUUGUGGACACCAUGGCUCCCC